rnacentral:snRNA from 1 species
GUGCUCGCUUCGGCAGCACAUAUGCUAAAAUUGGAACGAUACAGAGAAGAUUCGCACAGCCCCUGCGCAGGGAUGACAUGCAAAUUCCUGAAGCAUUCUGUAUUUUU